rnacentral:rRNA from 1 species
AUUCCAGCUCCAAUAGCGUAUAUUAAAGUUGUUGCAGUUAAAAAGCUCGUAGUUGGAUCUCAGGGUGAGCUCAGCUGGUCGGCCUAAUUGGUCAGAACUGGCUGACUCUCUCUUGUUUCUGAAUCCCGGUCGGAGUUAAUUCUUCGUUCGUGGACUUCAGAUCGUUUACCUUGAAAAAAUUAGAGUGUUCAAAGCGGGCGUUUGCUUGAAUACAUUAGCAUGGAGUAAUGGAAUAGGACCCUGGUUCUAUUUUGUUGGUUUUGAGGACCAGAGUAAUGAUUAAUAGGGAUAGUUGGGGGCAUUCAUAUUUAAUUGUCAGAGGUGAAAUUCUUGGAUUUAUGAAAGAUGAACUUCUGCGAAAGCAUUUGCCAAGGAUGUUUUCAUCA